CUCAUUUGGAUUAAACCAAUUUUCAAUAAGGCUCUCUACAUACAAUGUUAACAAUAUGAAUAAAACAUAAUUAAUCUACUAUUACACACAUGUAAACAAUAGACGUAUAUAAAGUAAUAUAACAACAACAACAAAAACACCUAUGGUAUACAUUGUGGCUUAACUUAUAAAUUUAACACUUUUAAAAAUAAAAUGACUUGUAAGAGUUUUUGAAUGCAGAUAUACUUUUUGAUUUUUUUUAAUUUCACUGGACAGUGAAUUCGACACUUUUGGACCACUAAAGAAAAAACUUGAUUUGUAUAAUUCUGUAUUUGAUUUAGGGACAAUAAAAUUAUCCGAUGAUGAAAGUCGAGUAUUGUACGCUUGUUUACUACUUGUAGGC
rnacentral:lncRNA from 1 species